UACGGAGGAUCCAAGCGUUAUCCGGAAUUACUGGGCGUAAAGAGUUGCGUAGGUGGCAAAGUAAGUAGAUAGUGAAAUCGUUCGGCUCAACCGAAUAUCCAUUAUCUAAACUGCUUAGCUAGAGGAUGAGAGAGGUUAUUGGAAUUCCCAGUGUAGGAGUGAAAUCCGUAGAUAUUGGGAGGAACACCGAUGGCGUAGGCAACUUCCUGGACUGAUACUGACACUGAGGUGCGAAAGCGUGGGGAGCAAACAGG
rnacentral:rRNA from 1 species